AGAGAGAGACAUGCGCGCAUAUCAAUAAGCGGAGGAAAAGAAACUAACUAGGAUUCCCUUAGUAACGGCGAGUGAAGCGGGAAGAGCUCAAAUUUGAAAUCUUCAAGGUUUUACCUUGACGAAUUGUAGUUUAAAGAAGUGUUUUCUGCUGAAGUUUUGGUAAAAGUUCUUUGGAAUAGGACAUCAUAGAGGGUGAGAAUCCCGUAUUUGACCAUUAUUUUCAGCUUUGUGAUACACUUUCAAAGAGUCGGAUUGUUUGGGAAUGCAGUCCAAAAUGGGUGGUAAAUUUCAUCUAAAGCUAAAUAUUGGCGAGAGACCGAUAGCGAACAAGUACCGUGAGGGAAAGAUGAAAAGAACUUUGAAAAGAGAGUUAAACAGUACGUGAAAUUGUCAAAGGGAAGCGUUUGACACCAGUGUUGUUUUCUCGAAAAUCAAUUAAAAAUGGCUCGAUUUUGUAUUGUUGAGACCUUAAAAGCUCACUGUACAUUUUUCGUGUCCUUUUUAAUGCACUUUUCGUUUAACAAGUCAACAUCAGUUCCUUUUGUUGUAAAAGGGUCAUUGGAAGGUGGCUUUCUUUUCGGAGAAAGUGUUUAUAGCCUUCGGCCUCUGCAAUCGGAGAGACUGAGGUCUGCAGCGUAGACUCUUCGGGGUUAGAUACAUUUGUGCUAAGUUAUAGCUUUUUAUAGACAACUUGUUGACUAUAAUUAGUCUUGUAGCUUACUCGCUUAUGCUAUUUUACCUACGCUUAGGAUGUUGAAGUCAUCGUAUGCGC
rnacentral:rRNA from 1 species